rnacentral:rRNA from 1 species
UGGGGAAUAUUGCACAAUGGAGGGAACUCUGAUGCAGCGACGCCGCGUGAACGAAGAAGGCUUUCGAGUCGUAAAGUUCUUUUAUAUGGGAAGAUAAUGACGGUACCAUAAGAAAAAGCCCCGGCUAACUACGUGCCAGCAGCCGCGGUAAUACGUAGGGGGCUAGCGUUGUCCGGAAUCACUGGGCGUAAAGGGUUCGCAGGCGGAAAUGCAAGUCAGGUGUAAAAGGCAGUAGCUUAACUACUGUAAGCAUUUGAAACUGCAUAUCUUGAGAAGAGUAGAGGUAAGUGGAAUUUUUAGUGUAGCGGUGAAAUGCGUAGAUAUUAAAAAGAAUACCGGUGGCGAAGGCGACUUACUGGACUCAUACUGACGCUGAGGAACGAAAGCGUGGGUAGCAAACAGG